AGACAAGCUAUCGAGUAUGACAGGGAACAGGACUUGGUAAUGGAAAUAGUGGCCACCUGCAGACAGUUGUUAGUGAUAUGCUUCUCUCCUUUGAUCCAGAAGACUCCUGCAUAGAGCCAGUUACUGCUCACAUAUCACUUCCAUAGCCUUGUGCAGUCCAGGAAUGGUGUAAUUAAUUUAGACUUGUUUGGGAAAAUAUUUGAUCAUCAUUUGAUUUUAUGAGGUGACUGAUGUGUUGGAUGACGUCAGCAUGCCACGAGGCCGGCCGCAUGAGCAAGACCCCAUGUUCCAGGAGAGCAUUGGAAGCAGAGGGAGUGGUCAGACCUGUGCUGGAAACAACGUUAUUAGAGCAGGGGUAGCAGCACACAAAACAGAUUACUUUAAGAUCUUCAAGCUCCAAAGGUUCUAGGAGUACUCCUAGCCAUGGGUCUCUUGGUGAUAUACCAGCAUCUUUCUGAGAAGGAGGUAUAGCAGAAGAGAAGGAGCUGGAUGGAUCCCACUGCUCCUGGCUCCCUGGCAGGUGGGGAGAGCAUGCACUGUCCCUGCAUCCAGCUGUUUAGGAUUGUUUAUCUUGCACUCCUGAUGUUUUGUUUAGUCAGUGAUGAUGCAUAAGAUACAACUUGUUUUGACUUCCAGGUAGACGAAGUCCAUGAAGCAAACAUUUGUUGCUGGCAGAAUGCUAAAUAAACAGUAGCAACACCUACCUGUGUGGGUGGCA
rnacentral:lncRNA from 1 species